UCAGAGAAACCUGAGGCUGCCUGAGCCUGAGUUCCGGCACCACAGUGGAAGCCCCCUGAGGAAGCCCAGUUCUGCCAUCCUAAGCGGAGCUGCCCUGGUUCACCUCGCUGCACCUGCCAGAUGCCUUCUGCAGCUUCCCAGCUCAGGCCAGACCACGGAAUGACGGGGAGCCACAAGAAGCCACCAGGAUGAGGCCAUCUUGCACAUUCCAGCCCCAGCCAAGCUCCUAGCUGAGUCUACCAACAAA